rnacentral:rRNA from 1 species
GAUGAACGCUAGCGGCAGGCCUAAUACAUGCAAGCUGAACGGUAAAUGUUAUAGCAAUAUGAUAUGAGAGUAGCGUAAGGGUGCGUAACACGUAUGCAAUCUGCCCGCAACAGGAGGAUAGCUCCCCGAAAGGGGAAUUAAUACUCCAUAAUAUCACGAGAGGGCAUCUGAUUGUGAUUAAACUCCAAGGGGUUGCGGAUGAGCAUGCGUCUGAUUAGUUAGUUGGUGAGGUAACGGCUCACCAAGACGAUGAUCAGUAGGGGAACUGAGAGGUUGAUCCCCCACACUGGCACUGAGAUACGGGCCAGACUCCUACGGGAGGCAGCAGUAGGGAAUAUUGGUCAAUGGGUGAGAGCCUGAACCAGCCAUGCCGCGUGCAGGAAGACGGUCUUCUGGGUUGUAAACUGCUUUUGUCAGGGGAUAAAAUACCCGUGCGCGGGGAAUUGAAGGUACCUGAUGAAUAAGCCACGGCUAACUACGCGCCAGCAGCCGCGGUAAUAC